rnacentral:rRNA from 1 species
UACAGAGGGUGCAAGCGUUGUUCGGAAUUAUUGGGCGUAAAGGGCGCGUAGGCGGGCCGCCGCGUCCGGGGUGAAAUCCUCCCGCUCAACGGGAGAACGGCCUCGGAUACGGGCGGCCUGGAGGCGGGUAGGGGCACGCGGAACUGUGGGUGGAGCGGUGAAAUGCGUUGAGAUCCACAGGAACUCCGGUGGCGAAGGCGGCGUGCUGGACCCGAUCUGACGCUGAGGCGCGAAAGCCAGGGGAGCGAACGGG